rnacentral:lncRNA from 1 species
AUUUUAUUCAGUGUAUAAUCUGUUUGCUAUCAUUGUAGAGGCAGUGCAGUGCUUGUGAAUACAAGGAGCUAAUUUACCCAAUGCUUGGUUUGAUCAUCAACCUUUCAGCUAUCACAUCCCCAAUCAUUCAGGAGCAUGCUGUUUCACUCUGCAACUGCUGCCUGGGUCUUCUGAGGGAUAGUGAUGGAGGAGUGAUAACUAGAGCCACAGGUGUGCUGAGCACUGUCCUCCCUCAGUCCCCUGAGGCCGUUCAG